rnacentral:rRNA from 1 species
UUCGCGCUGUGGCGUAGGGGAAAGUUGGAGGCGGUUUCGGCCGUCUUUUGGCAAUUUUCUGCGUUGCUGUGUGUGGCGGGUGAGGUCGAAGGCGUGGAUGGCGUUGGUUCCCCGGCGGUCGGCUUCGUUCUCGCGUCCGUCACAAUUCUUCUUAGAGGGACAAGCGGCGUCCAGCCGCGUGACAGUGAGCAAUAACAGGUCUGUGAUGCCCUUAGAUGUCCUGGGCCGCACGCGCGCUACACUGAAGGAAUCAGCGUGUUUCUUUCUCCCUGUCUGAAAAGACCGGGUAACCGCUGAAACUCCUUCGUGGUUGGGAUUGGGGAC